AUUGAACGCUGGCGGCAGGCCUAACACAUGCAAGUCGAACGAGUGGCGGACGGGUGAGUAAUGUCUGGGAAACUGCCUGAUGGAGGGGGAUAACUACUGGAAACGGUAGCUAAUACCGCAUAACAUCCGAUGUGCCCAGAUGGGAUUAGCUAGUUGGUGGGGUAACGGCUAACAAAGGAGACGAUCCCUAGCUGGUCUGAGAGGAUGACCAGACAGACGGGAACUGAGACACGGUCCAGACUCCUACGGGACGCAGCAGUGGGGAAUAUUGCACAAUGGGCGCAAGCCUGAUGCAGCCAUGGCGAGUGUAUGAAGAAGGCCUUCGGGUUGUAAAGUACUUUCAGCGGGGAGGCGUUACCCGCAGAAGAAGCACCGUCUAACUCCGUGCCAGCAGCCGCGGUAAUUC
rnacentral:rRNA from 1 species